AAAAUCAAGAACUCUUUUGGACUGAAACGAAACGAAAUCGCCGCCAUAUCCCCAUCCCCAUCUGCUCUGCGGUCGCCGGCGUGCUCCACCUCCGAUGGCUUCUCCCCGCCUCCUCUCCAACUCCAACUCCAGCUCCCUCGCCCAAACCCCAACCCCUUCCCUCCUUCCGCUCGCCGCUUCCUCCGUAUUCCUGGGGCGGAUCUCAUGCGCAGCACAAGGAGGCUGUUGCAGCUGCAGCCGCCGGCGGGAGAAACAAGAGACUGCGGCGACGGCGGCAAGGGCAAGAAAAAAGCAGCAAACAUGACGAUGAUCCUGGAUGCUUUUGCAUCCUAUGUGCAAAACAUGCUCACUGAGAUGGUGAAGGAAGAGGUGUACAUGCUGCUUGGAGUUGGGGACGAGAUCGAGAAGAUGGAUGUCAAGCUUGGGGAACUCAAGAACUUCCUCGCCGACGCUGACAGGAGAAACAUCACUGACAAGAGAGUGCAAGAGUGGGUGGCUCAGCUCAAGCGUGCCAUGUAUGAAGCUGCUGACAUCCUCGACCUCUGCCAGCUCAAGGCCAUGGAGCGCAGUCCGUCCACUAAAGAUGCGGGGUGCUUCAACCCCUUGCUAUUCUGCAUGCGGAAUCCCUCCCAUGCCCAUAACAUCGGCACACGCAUCAAGGCGCUCAACAAGAGGCUCGACACCAUCAAGGAGCGAAGCGCUGCUUUCAGCUUCAUCCCUCUUGGUUCCUAUGAGGAUCAUGGCAGAAAGGCCCAUGGUUCUCAUUCUCGUAAUACCAGGCGUGAGACAUCAGGGGAGUUUGAUCGGUCCGGUGUAGUCGGAGAGAAGAUCGAACAAGACACAAGAAAACUGGUUGAGAUGAUGCUGACUGAAAAGAAGGGCAACACCAACAUCAUGGUGGUCGCCAUUGUUGGUGUCGGCGGAAUCGGCAAGACUACUCUUGCCCAGAAGAUCUUCAAUGACGAAGCCUUGAAUGCCGAGUUCGAGAGGACGAUAUGGUUGAGCAUUAACAAGGACGUCGACAAGGUUGAGUUGCUCAGGACAAUCAUCACACAAGCCGGGGGAGUACAUGGUGGUGAAAAGGCGUUGGCUGUGCUUCAGCCAAUCCUUGCCACUACCUUGAAAGGGAAGAAGCUAUUCCUGGUGCUAGAUGAUGUUUGGGAACAUGGAGCAUGGGAUGAUGUGCUUAAAACACCAUUGGUUAAUGUUGUGGCUCGAGGUAGCCGAGUCCUCGUCACCACUAGAGAUGAAACAAUAGCUCGGAGGAUGAAAGUUGUAUUUCCCUACCACCAUGUGGACAAAUUAGAGGAGGAUGAUGCAUGGUCAUUGCUCAAGAAACAGAUAAUCUCAAGUGAGACAGAUGAAUGUGAAAUUGAUAUGCUCAAGGAUAUUGGAGUUCAGAUUGUAGCAAAAUGUGAUGGUUUGCCUCUUGCUCUCAAAGUAAUGGGUGGGAUCUUGUGUCAGAAGGACAAAAAACAGCAUGAGUGGAAGAUGGUUUUGGAUGAUUCUAUAUGGUCGAACUCUGGACUGCCUGAAGAGCUAAACCAUGCAGUAUAUUUAAGCUAUGAAGAUUUAUCUUCUUGUGCCAAACAAUGCUUUCUGCACUACUCCCUUCUCCCUAAAACUGCAGUGUUUUCUAGGAACGAAAUCAUUGGCAUGUGGAUUAGUGAAGGAUUUCUUCACGGGACCUUAGAUGACUUAGAAGAAUUAGGAAUCAAGUACUAUCAGGAGCUGAUAUUGAGGAAUCUUAUAGAGCCAAAUACACAGUUUGUUGACCAAUGUGUCUGCAACAUGCAUGAUGUUGUACGCUCAUUUGCUCAAUUUGUGGCUAGAGAUGAGACACUAGCAGCUCACAGUGGAGAAACUAAUAUUGUUACUGAACUUGGUGCACAUGAGUUUCAUCGGUUAUCUCUAGAAAGCAAAGCAUCUGAAUUAAAUGGGUUAGACUGGAGCUCUUUGCAAGCACAAAAGACAUUAAGAGUACUGAUAUCAGUUGGCUAUAUAAAUAUCAAGCCUGGUGAUUCGUUGAUUCAUUUUCCAUGUCUACGAACUUUACAUAUAUUUUCUGCACAUGUUGUAGUACUGCUUGAAUCUUUGCAAGAACUCAAGCACCUAAGGUACUUGUCCAUAGUAAAUGCAGAUAUAUCUAGUCUGCCGGAUAGCGUUGGAAAGCUGAAAUUCUUGCAAUACAUUAGUCUUAGAGAUUGCAAACAAUUUGUGAAACUUCCGCAUAGCAUUUUGAAGUUAGGGCAGCUAAGGUAUCUCAACUUAAGUGGAACGAGUAUAAAUGGCAUAACUAGAGGAUUUCGUGUUCUCACAAAUUUGAGGAAAUUAAUUGGGUUUCCUGCCCAUGUGGAUGGUGAUUGGUGCAGUUUGGAAGAGUUGGGUCCUCUUUCUCGGCUCAAGGUUCUUAGAUUGGACAGAUUGAAGAAUAUUACUGAUUCCUCAUCUGCAACAAAGGCAAAGCUUGAUGAAAAGGUGCAUCUUGCUGAACUAUCCUUAUAUUGUGCUAGUAGAUUAGGAGAUGAUGGGAUGAUUAAGGAGGAAGGUAGUAUCUCUGAGGAAGAAAAACAACAAAUCGAGAAGGUGUUUGAUGAGCUCUGCCCUCCGCCCAGGUUAGAAAAUCUUGACAUCAACGGAUAUUUUGGCCGAUCGCUCCCAAGGUGGAUGAUGUCAUCAUCAGCUAUGCCCUUCAAGAGCUUGAGGAAUCUAUUAAUUGAUGACCUAGCUUGCUGCACAACACUUCCUGAUGGGUUGUGUCAGCUCCCUUAUUUGGAGUUCAUUCAGAUUCUCCGUGCUCCAGCCGUCAAGCGCGUUGGACCUGAAUUCAUGCAGUCGUACCAACACCACAAUGCUCGUCCUUCCCAGAUGGUGGCUGCGUUUCCGAGAUUGCAUGAAAUGAAUUUAACAAGAAUGGUGGAAUGGGAGGAGUGGGAGUGGGAGCAGCAAGUGCAAGCCUUUCCUGUCUUGCAGGAGCUUACGCUAGAUAGAUGCAAAUUGAAGUGUCUUCCUCCUGGCCUUGCAUCCCAGGCAAGGUCUUUGAAUAAAUUAAGAGUAUCCUAUGUCCAAGGUGUCAUCUCUGUAGAGAACUUUCCAUCUCUGGUUGAGCUGCAUCUGGAUGAAAACCAUGACUUGGAGAGGAUCACUAAUCUUCCCAGACUGCAGAAGCUUACCAUCGGAGACUGUCCAAAGCUGAAGGUCUUGGAGGGUGUUCCUGCACUCCAGAGGCUCGUUCUCUCGGAUAACAACAUGGAAACACUCCCAGAAUACAUGGGAGGUACAAACCCAAUGCAUUUUGAGCUAUACUGUAGCCUAGCACUGCUAGCUUCCAUUGCCAUCGGACAAUCUGGCCCUGGUUGGGACAAAUUCGGCCAUGUUCAGCAUGUCAAGGCAUACGCACGUGAAGGAGAUAAUGGGAGGAAAUGGUAUGUCUUGUACACAGCUAAGCCCUACAACCUGGAGACAAAUGUCAGCCUCUCUUUCAUGUCCAGAGGAACCUUGACCGCUUUUGAGGAUGCACAAAGAUUUGAGUCUCUCUUCAAAAUGAGGAGGAAAACCUUUAGCUACAUCUGCAGUUUGGUGAUGGGGCCAUCAAUGGAAGAUAUGAACAACUAUACCUUUGUUGACGGGAGGGUGAUGUCUUUAGAAGAUCGGGUGGCCGUUGCUCUUAGAAGGUUGCAGUCCAGUGAGCCAACUAAGAGCAUAGCAUCCUCUGUUGGUGUGAACGAGCCAAACAUCCUGUCGGUAACUGAGAGGUUCGUUGAUACUAUGUGGGAGAAAGCAGUCCACCACUCAAGCUGGCCAGACUGCAAUGAAAAGGAUAAAAUCAAAUCCAAAUUUGACAAGAUCCACAAUAUGCAUAACUGCUGCGGUGUUAUAUGUACAACUCACAUCCCAUUUGGUCCAAACUGCAACCAUGAGAAGAAUGAUUGCAUUCAGAUGCAGCUCGUCAUUGAUCCAGACAUGAGGUUCAAGAGCAUUUGGUUGGGACUGCCAAGUAGCAUGAACCAGUUGAGCCUUUUGCAGGACUCUACACUCUUCAAGGAGUGCGAGAAGGGCGGUUUGCUGAAUGGCAGCAAGCUGAAGGUGGGAUUAGAUGGAUCAGAAGCCGGGGAGUACAUAAUUGGUGAUGCAGGAUAUCCUCUUCUCCCCUGGCUACUCACACCAUACAAGGAAGAUCUCUCAGAUUUCAAGGCAGAGUUCAACAGGAGACACUCCGCGGCCACAACCCGUACUCUGAAGGCGCUCACAAGGCUCAAAGAUACAUGGAAGUACCUGCUGGGAGAGGCGUGGUGGCCCGCUGAUCUGAAAAUUCAAACGAAAAUAAUAUAUGCCUGCUGCAGGUUGCAUAACAUAGUCAUAGAAAUGGUUGAUGAUGCAGCCAUGCUGAGCACCAAGCGGAAGAAUUACUCCAAGGAAGUGCGCCAGAUAGCAAAGGAGGACGCUAUCAGGGCGAGAGAUAUGCUGUCGCAACACUUCAUGGCCAGCAGGUCAUCCAAAUCGGGAGAGCAGGAUGAUGAAGCAGCUUCAUCAGGCCCAGGGGAUGAAAAUAAUGAACAAGAAGUGCAGACCAUUAACUACGUGCUUUGAGUCCUGUUAGUGAGGAUGGGUACAAACUGCUAGUGAGAAUCCUAGUCCUGUUCCCUCAAGUUAAAGUCCUACUAUCCCGCCAUCAAGUUCCCUUCGUGAGAAUCUUAGUGCAAACAAAGAUUCUCAAUAGAAACUACUAGUGAGAAUCCUAGUGCUCCGAGUCUUGAUUGGCACUAAUGCUAGUGAGAAUCUUUAACUGCUUAACCCUCUUGGUUGCUAGUAUAUAAAAAUUACAUAACUCAGAAAGAAUGGUAAUCGAUACAACUAUUAGCAGUGUGUUAGCUCAGACUCUGUAUUGACAAUUUUUAUUUAACUGGCGGUUCAUUUAAUAGCAUGGGUGAUCUUGUUAGUAAGGUGAAAGGGGAGCUACAUCCCUGCUGGAUGUGGUUGGAGCUUUUGAAUGCAUGAAUGCAGAGCAGACGUGGUGAAAGGGAUGUUAGCCCAGACCCGACGCCGAGUACUUUCCGACGACGGUGACGAUCGACGACGAAGACUAACCACUUGUUGAACUCAACGAAUUGCUUUACGUCGAGAUACACCACUAGCUGGCUCCUGUUCGAUCCACCAAUGCAGUGCAAAGCUAUCCCAAAAUAGCGCGCUGCUCCUGAUCGAUUCUAUGUGAAACUGCAGCAACUACGCCAACGUAUACGUACGCACACAACGGCCAGCCGGCCGGAAGCACCAAACGCACGCACACGAGAUACCGGCGUAUUGCCAAAGGCUCGUAACGAGCCUUGUGUUUUAUUUCAACUCACGAUUCUGGUUCUCAGUACAGGGGUAUACAUGAGUAUAUAUAUUAGCUAGCUAGGCUGCCAACUAAUCCUAAUUCUAUUCGUGAUUGAACUAGAAACCUAGUCGGACACCUACAUGCAUGUACUGAAUCCGACAUGGCCACGAUUCUUUCGUGUUUAACUCCAACAAGGGAAGCCUACUUUGACGCUGCAGUUUGGACUGUAGUUGAACAUUAUUUUUAAAUUUUUGGUCAUCUAUCUAUUUGGCAAAGACAAGUGUUAUGCCGUCUGUACUUUGUGGAUGGGCAGUAAGAUUUUACGUGUCAGGAGAAACGAUGAUGUAGUAUAGCCUCUUAGAGACUAUCUGUAUUUAUGAUGUUUGUUCCAGUAAUUAUCCAAUGUGGGAACUUGAGAUUUUUUUCCGAUAAAGAGGAACUUGAGAUGAA